UGGCAUUCCUUGUGGAGGUCCUGGACUGCCUGGAUAUGAGUGACUGGGGAGGCAGCAUUCUGCAGAGCCUUUCAAGGCACCUCGGGAGUGAGUGCCCAGAGAUGCGUCGCCUGGCGCUCCGAGGCCUCCUGGUACUCACCCAGGAUCCCGUGAUGGCUGAUGGUGUGCAGAGCCUGACAGAAAGCCUCCUGGAGCUACUGUGGGAUGCAGAUGGAGAGCUGGUGGGGAUGGCCCUCUCUGUACUCAUCAAUCAAGUCCAGGACAGAGACAU